GCAGUCGCCACGGGAAUACAGAGGGUGCGAGCGUUAAUCGGAUUUACUGGGCGUAAAGCGUGCGUAGGCGGCUUCUUAAGUCGGAUGUGAAAUCCCUGAGCUUAACUUAGGAAUUGCAUUCGAUACUGGGAAGCUAGAGUAUGGGAGAGGAUGGUAGAAUUCCAGGUGUAGCGGUGAAAUGCGUAGAGAUCUGGAGGAAUACCGAUGGCGAAGGCAGCCAUCUGGCCUAAUACUGACGCUGAGGUACGAAAGCAUGGGGAGCAAACAGGAUUAGAUACCCCUGUAGUCCCUGUCUCUUAUAC
rnacentral:rRNA from 1 species